UCUUGUUUUUGUUCUUGUUCUUCUUUUUUCUUGGUUUUGAAUCUGGAAUUUUUCUAGUAUGUUAAUCACCGAGUUGUUCCUGUAAACUGGUGUUGUUACAAUAAUUAAUAGGCUUGGAAUAUUGGUUAUCUAUUGUAGGUCGAUUUUUUAUAGUUAGAGAAGAAGAAGGUGUGUCCAGUUUGGAGAUCUUUGUGGGUCGAUGAACAUACUAUUUGUACUGAGUGGUUUUUUAUAUUUUACUCUCUCUGCGAUGCAGUUUGCACAUAGUAGACUGGGUUAAUCUUAAGCCCUCAGAUUAAGCCAUUUACGGUCGAACUGGGUGAACAUUUUGUCGUGUUCGUUACUUUCUUGCAUUUUGUGUUUGGUUUACUGUAUUUUGUUUGUGUUUUUUGGACCGAAAUUCCUAACAAAUUCUAGAAUCAGAGCUAGUUCUUGAGGCUUUUGGGUAAACUCAUUUUUCUUAAGGAUAAUUUUUUUUGAGUUGGUAAAAGAUUUGUAAGAUUUCAGUUUUUCUUUUUUGAAGCUCUUGAUCUUUUUUUAAAAAUAUUUUUUGUAUAGCACUCUGUUCAGAUCUGCAAAGAUCUAAACAGAUAGUUUGAGUUUUCUAACAUCUCUUUUAAGUGUGAAAGUAAAGUGACUUUUCUCGUUUCUUUUUUCUUGGUUGGUUUUCUUAGACAGAACUUAGCAAGUGAAAGAGUAUCUUUUAUGAAUUGGUAGCACUAUUUUUCAACAAUGCUGGUUACUUGGGCAAUGAUGAUGAUUAGCCUUCCAUAAAUGUGUAAUUCUGCAACUGAGAGAAAAAGAUGGAACUUCAUUUUGGAAUUUUUUCCUAUUUCACCUGUCAGAAAUGCUUCAGCGAAGGUAAUUUUAUACACGCAAAGCUUUACAUUUAUUAUACGUAUUGUCAGUAUUGCAAUAAUUGAGAAGAAAUCUAGUCUAUCCUCGAAAUGUAUACCUGUGUCUUGGAUCAAGAAAUGAAUGAAUCUGCAUGGUUCAUUAGAGACGUUAGGCAAAGUGGAAAGCUGAUUACAACUUUAUGUCAUUGAACCACUUCAUGUAAACCGAUUUUUUCUUAUCUAAUAUAUCAUUUCCGUGUCGCCUCAUGUGCUGAACAAAUGUGUUGGUAGCGUACUUGGUGUUCAGAUAGACGAUAGUUGAAAGAAUCAAGAGAAACAUGGGUCAGGCCCUGAAUUGAUUCAGCUUUGUUGUGAAUGCUGUCAAAGUUGCAGUGAGAAGCUUGUCGAUGGGUACCAGCACCUCUUAGACGCAUUCACCAGUAAGAUUGAAAGGCAAAUCUAGCAGAUUAAUUGUCACACAUCAAAUUCUACAUUGAACUUUUUGUAAAUAGCUUUUUCCUAGUUCUUGAUUCUAAGAUGACUAUAUAACUUUCCUCACGCUUCUACACUAGGCUACUCAUCUU